rnacentral:rRNA from 1 species
UACGUAGGGUGCAAGCGUUACUCGGAAUUACUGGGCGUAAAGCGUGCGCAGGCGGUUUUGUAAGUCUGACGUGAAAUCCCCGGGCUCAACCUGGGAAUUGCGUUGGAGACUGCAAGGCUAGAAUCUGGCAGAGGGGGGUAGAAUUCCACGUGUAGCAGUGAAAUGCGUAGAGAUGUGGAGGAACACCGAUGGCGAAGGCAGCCCCCUGGGUCAAGAUUGACGCUCAUGCACGAAAGCGUGGGGAGCAAACAGG